GUGCUUGCUUUGGCAGCACAUAUACUAAAACUGGAAUGAUAUACAGAAGAUUAGCGCGACUCCUGCCCAAAAGCGAGAGAAAGAACUGCUUUAA
rnacentral:snRNA from 1 species